rfam:Dichanthelium oligosanthes cultivar Kellogg 1175 unplaced genomic scaffold Do_version_2_scaffold907, whole genome shotgun sequence.
GGACCUGAAGCGGAGCUCCCUUCACUCCAAUGAAGGGUCGUUUUGAAGGGUGGUACAGCUGCUCGUUCAUGGUUCCCACUAUCCUAUCUCAUCCAAGCAAGACAGACUAUGAGAUGAUUGGUUUGAGAUAGGCUUGUGGUUUGCAUGACCGAGGAGCUGCAUUGUCCCCUCUUUGACCGCUCUUUGGAGUGAAGGGAGUUCUACAUCUUGAUCUC